UUGUUCCUCUGCCUGCCACUCUGUUAACUAAAAAAUUCAAACCUCCUGCUUUCAAACCCACAAAAAGAGUUCUUCAAUGAAUGAUUCUCCGUCUUCUGCAUCUUGUAAACAAAACUUAUCGUCCCCAUCUAAUCAUAUAUACUAACACUCUUGGCUCCAUAACAUACCCAUGGAGUCUGAGUUUCCCCUGGAAUAGGAUAUCUCAUCUACCAAUUUUAAAAUCCCAUCUUCAAUCCUCUCCAAAGAAUAAAAAAAAUCGAAUUUCUCAACCAUGGCGCAACACUCUCAUUAUCAAAUUGGUUGGCCAUCCACUCUCUUUCUACCAAGCUCCAGAAAUUACGGAAAACAAAUUCUGCUUUUUUCAUCACAGAACUUGGUUCUAGCUGUUUCCUUAAUAAAUUCUCAAAUAUUGAAGAUUAUUUUACUGUUCUUGGUGGUGGCCAUUGGUUUCUUUUCAACUACUACCUUAUGGUUCAAAGAUGGCAACCAGAUUUUCGUUCGUGGAAAAUAAUUUCCAAUUCUCUGGGGUAUGGAUACAACUUCCUGAAUCGCCCAUUGAAUAUUAUGAUCAUCUUGUUCCGUAUCAAAAAGUUUGUUAAUAGGGAAGCUUAUUAAAAAUGAUGCUCAAACAGGGUAUGCUCUAGAGGAUGAUAUGCAAGAAUUUCUUAAGUUACGGGAAAUAAACAAUUAUGCAAGUUUCGGAUGGUGCGGGGCGAAGUCGGAGGUGUUUCUUCCUUUUCGGUUCGAACUCGGAUUUUAGAAUUCAAAUUUCGAACGAGGCGGGUCAGGGCAAGGAAAAUCUGCCCCGACCCAUUGCCCUACAGCCGACCCAAUCCAUUUACUCUGUCAAAACGGUGGAGGUCCGGAUAUAACCGAAAAGUGUGGGGUAACCCGUGAUCUUUCUUUUUUAUUUUGCCACAAAAGUCAGUUGAUAACGGCACGUUACCGUAAAAACAGAGCGAAAAACGGAGAAAACGGAGGGAAACGCCAAAAAGGAGAAAGAAAUGGUAGCGAUUUCUUUGUACAGAGGGAACCUCCACAGAGCACCGGACAUUCCUCGGCGAUGGCUAAUGCCGACUCCCAAAAUCUCUCUCAAAGACUUCAAAACCCUCUUGCACUGCCGCAACAAAGCCCUCUCUCGUCUCCGUUCCUCUUCUUCCUCCUCUAACCCUAACCCUAAUCCCGAUUUAAAACCUCAAGUUCAAUCUCCCAUGCCUAAUGGGCUUCCUAUUGUGCCCAAAUUGAAAGCGCAAGUUGAGUCUGAACGGCCCGAGGAUUUGAAAACUGGACCACCUCCCGUGGAGGUAGUUGGAGGAUCUGACGGUGGAGCUUGUUUGAUGAACCCUGAAGAUGAGCAGACCGAGAAAGAUGACAAUUUACAAGUGGGUGAGAAACCGGCUGAGGAGACAAAAAGAAAUGUAGAGGUAAUUGAAAAAGUAAAUGAUUUGAAUGAAAAAGAGAAAAGGAAAAGGGUUGUUGAGGAGAAGUUACAAGUUUUGAAUGCAAAGAAGCAUAAUUUAGUACAAGUGCUAAGGCAGAUCCUGAAUGUGGAGGAGGAAUUGAAGAGAAGAAAUAGCACACAAGGUACCGCUAUUCGUCCAGCUGUUCCACUUCAAGUGGAAACCACGAAUGACUCUGGGUCAAUGACUAGGCUUGUCACUUCCAGGAUGGGUUCGGAGGCUAAUCUUGCUGGUGAAAAUGAAGGAGGUGAAGCUGAUGAUGUUUCAAACCUUAACAUUCAUUCUCGUCAUGUGUUUCGCAUGAGCAGUACAUCACCAUCUUCAGAAUCUCCCCUUAGAAGACCUAGCUACUUUCAACAAAAUGUGGUUCCCCACCCCUCUCGAGCUAUCAUGGGGGUCACAGGUAGCCCAUCACGCUUUGCUCCUACUGGAAAUCAAGGUCAUCCUGGAAAUCCUCCCGCUGUAUCUGUGUCAGGAACAAAUUAUGUUGCAUCAUCUCCUUCCCCUGCAGCAUCUGGUGGCACUUCAGUUUUCGGAGAGGCUUGGCAGCCAAGCCCAUGGAAUUAGAAUCUGUAGCCCAUUGAACUCUAAAUGUGACUUGAGCCUCUAACAUGUGUAUGUGAGCUUAGCAACAUUCAAGUCCUUUUUGGUUCUUCCUGCUUAAGCUAAACGGAGAAUAUCAGUUCUCAAUCUUAUGUCAGAUUAUCAGGGAUUUGGUCCGGCAAAAUUAUGGGUGAGGGAAAAUGGAAGGCUAAUAAUGUUCUUUGUAACAACAAUAUGUUCUCCAAUUUAAGAGAAAAUAACAGGUUGAAGCUGGCCUGAAAGGGCAGGGGUCCUCACCUUGCAUUGCGGCAUUGCCACUCUGAAGCACCCACUGAUUCAAUAUCAAAGCCUUUCCACAGAGGAAUGAUCAAAGUCAACGGUCAAGACAGACAUCACAGACCUCCAUCUCCUCCACCCUUGGUUGGCGCAUGUGAGAAGAUUAGAAAAACAGCCCAGGCCCUCCACACAUGUGCGAGGUGUCCUUAUCCAGUGAACCCACCACAGUCCACAAGCCCCUGAAACGAACCCCCCCCCCCAAAAAAA